UCUAAUAUCAGGGAAGUUUCUAUUUAUAUUGCUGUCAAGGUUAUGGAAUUUUUGUAUGCAAACAACAUGGCUUUCCAUUACCCUGAACCUGCAGACAAGAACCGUUACAUUCGAUCAAAGGUUUGGACCUACGAGUACGAAUCCUUCAUGCCAGAUGUGUAUGACUGGCCUGAAUCUAAGGUUCACUGAUGCAUCAGAAGAUUGCUCUCCUCAGGCGGUAUCUUCUAUUCUGCAGGGAUCCCUUUUUCAAACCUAUUUAAAUCAUGAUCUUUGAGUCCUGUAAUUUAUUUUUGCUCAUUUUGUUGUCUUGUCUUCCCUUCUACCCAGUUUUUCACUUGACACAGAUUUCUCCCCACUCUCCAAAGUACCUGAUGAACUGUAUGGAUGUUGGCAUCCGUCACAGGAAUGAGAGAGCUCUCCAAAAUUAAUUUAAAUAAUGCCAUUGCAUUUCUAGCUUAGAGCUGGCACCACUAAAAAAUUCCAUUAAUGUUUUAGCUAUGUGCAUUUGAUGAUGAACUAUAGCUCUCUCAUCACUGCUGAUUUCCAAAAUGAUUUAUUUCUGCUUUUAAUAAUCAGUCUCCUAAUUGUCCUGGUGUUGUCACACUGCAUUAUCCGUGACAUCACCGGAGAGCAUUGGUCUAAAAAAAUAAAAAAAUAACAAAAUUUUAAAAAAGGGAAAAGGACAGCUUAAGACAAAUUUUACAGUCUAAUAGGCUUUCUGUUUUGUCUGGUAUUUAAAGAUGCCCCUGUCCAGACUUCCUUGUGGCAUUGGCUGCUCUGUUUCUUUGAAUGUGCUUUGAGGAGCAGCGUGGUGUGCACAUGUGGGAUCUACAGCAAUGUUUGUGGUUUGUGUUUUCAUCGUCGUGUGGGAUCUGUUAUCAGGAAAAAAUGUGAACUAGUGAAAAUUAUCCUUGGAAAGCCUGAAAAAUAAUAUCAAUCACUUAAUAGCUUUUAAAGACAAAGCUACGCCGUUGCCUAAUGAAUGCUAUAAUGUGAAGGCAGGAUCUGAAGUAAUUUAUGGAAAUCUUUUCGAGAUUUUUACCAGGAGAUUUUCUGCAGUGGACUCCAAGGUGAUGUACCAAAGGAUUUUUGUUCCAUUAAUUUGUUCAGGGUUCUGUUUCUUCUACGCUAAAUUGUUUUCUCCCUUGCAUACCCUUGUUCUUACAAAAAGACUUGUGUGUGAUGUUUUCGUGACAUCGCUGACUCAAAAACUCCUAAGUGGACUCACCUGCCACUUCGAACAACCCCCCCCGCAGGCAGCUGAUGAAGCUGAAAGAGGAAGUGUUACAGGCAGCUAUUGACACCCACUUUUACACAAGUUUGACCGAAUUGUUUCUUGUGGUCUCAGUCCAGUAUAUUUAUUUCAGUUUGAAUACAGGACUCGAAAGAUCUGAUGCUUAGAAGCUCUUGACGUUGAUCACUUCCAUCUUCCUCACUCCGUUUACAGGUUUAAUUUGUCAGGGGUUUCGUGAGGAAACAAAAAUGGCGAGUUGAAUUUUCCCUUCGGAUUGCACAUUUGAUACAGACACCACUAUGGGCAUUCCUUUUAAUUUUUUUUUUGUAUCAGGUUUGAGUGCCCUCUGUUACUUUCUGUUGGCAGACAAGGACACGCAGGGGUAGUUACAGUCUGUGACUUCUCUAAAUCUGGUCUCUGUAACAAGAACAAUGGUACGUCAGGAACAGAAAUAAUAAAGAUAGCAAGUGUGCUGUUCCACAGUUUGCUGCAUCAAGGCAACGAACAAAAAUAAAUAAAUAGAUAGAUGUAAAAGGGCUAUACUGGCAAACUUGAAGCCAGAGACGUGAAGUAAAGCUUGCUCAGGAUUUACUUGUGGCAAGCACCUCUCUCAUAUCCUCAUUUAUAUUGGAAAAUGCAGUCUCCACAGAAUAGGUGCAAAAUAGAACAAGGAAAAUAAUCUCUGUACCCCCUCAGAUGUGGUCUCUGUCGUGUACUGCCUAGCCUCUGAAUUGAAAAUGAUGUAUUAGAAAGGACAGGAAACUUUGAGAAGGCUUUACCUAAGUGAGAAGACUGAUUAUAUAAACACAGAAAAGCUGUGGGGAAAAGACUGCAUACUCAAACUGUGGUAAAGUGCUGUCUGGUGGGGCUCAAAAUGCUACAUUGCCAAGUUGGGCGACGUAUGUGGUUUGCAACUCCUGUAUGUAAGUAUAUGUACAAAAUAAAAAGACCAACACACAUAGGAUGUUUUUACAAAGAAUGCUUUUUUCAUCUAUUUUUGCUAUGCCUGGUUUUUAUUGUAUUUAAAUUUGUGACCUUACUGAAAAAAAAAAUAAUUAUUUAUUGAGUGUACAAAUUGUUUUUACCUUCUGAAAAUUUAACUCUAGCUGAAGCCUGUGGCGGUGUGUCAGCGGAGUUCUGCAUCAUCAGAUUCGAGUAUCUUGGGAACGCACAUUUCCUCAGAGCUGCCAACACACUAAUUAGGCAGAAUGAGUAACAAAAAUAUCCCGUGCACUGAUCUUGUGUCCUGCCUGAGAGUGAUCACAGAGGGCAGGGCAGUUGGUCCAUAAAUAUAACUCUUGUCUUACAAAAUAAAGAUCAUCCAUCCAUUCAGUCUGAUGAUUUUUUUUUUUUUUUUCAGGCAAGAAGUGCAGGUUGUGGUCCAGCGUCAGUGGGGCACUGAUAGGAAAAUAGUGUUACCUGGGUGCAGUAGGAGUUUUGCUUUGGGCAGAAGGGAUUUGUUUGGUUCCCAAGGGGAGCUCCUGUGUAGGAAGCACGCAGCAGCCGCUGGCAGGUGCCUAUUUUGUGAGGUGUGGGCCUUUCCCUUCCAAGUACAAAUGUUCCUGUGUCAUUUUUCAGGAAAUCCCACUGCUCAGGUGAGGAAAAAAAACCCAUUCUUUAACCGACUGUGAGGUUCCAGUUACAAACAGUCCUGCCCUGAUGGGGCUGCGGAUGGGUCAGAGCUCUGAAGAAGGCCUGACUGUGUCUCUAACCUGGCCCAGUUAGGGUAGCAAAGUGGUACCUGUUAGAUUUUAUCUAGUUAUACACACCUGUGGACACCGUUUAAUCAGGUUCUGUGGGUCUGUAACUUGUAAACAGCCACAGCAGAAUUUUACCUUUAACAUACAGCCAUUGUUUUCUCUUAGCAAUGGGUAACGUGUCAGUUUAUGAAGUGUUAAGUUCAUUUCACUCUCCUUUUCAUCUUUUUCAGAUUAUUUUUU